GAUACAGGAGCAUUUUAAGUGAUUAGUGAUAUAUUUUGUUAGUUUCAUGGUGUGCAAAAUAUGUAUUGCGUAAUUUUUGUCAGCUGGAGUUUUUGUGGUAAGGACGCGAAUGAAGGAAUGCACAUAAAGUGAGAGAGGUGGAGAGUGGCGAACAAAUGCGCGUUGUGAGCGGAAAAUAAUAAGAGAGACACAAAUGAGUGCAGACAUGUGCUCUCAACAUUGCGGCGCAUCAGUUCAGAUUUUUGUUGCUGCCAUUCAGAUUCAGAUUCAGUUGUUAUCUGUAAGUCGCCCCGUGUCGUCGAGUGUGCGGAUUAAACGCAUGCAUCAUACGCAUCGCUCCCUAUACUAAACCAAGGGUAUUCGGUAUUCUAUUUGAUUGAGGUAAACAAAACAAAGGCGUGCAUUAUAAUAAUACUAAAAGCCUCUGGGCAUUGCCUGAACAUACAUGAGUCUCUCGUGUGGCAUAUGCCUCAGAUAAUGUGCGUGCAAUCAAAAACGGUAAAUCGCGUGUAAUUUCAAAACAUAAAUAAAUCAUAAUUGGACUUGAAUAUUAA